UACAGAGGGGGCGAGCGUUGUUCGGAAUUACUGGGCGUAAAGGGCGCGUAGGCGGCCUUCUAAGUCGGACGUGAAAUCCCCGGGCUCAACCCGGGAACUGCGUCCGAUACUGGGAGGCUUGAAUCCGGGAGAGGGAUGUGGAAUUCCAGGUGUAGCGGUGAAAUGCGUAGAUAUCUGGAGGAACACCGGUGGCGAAGGCGGCAUCCUGGACCGGUAUUGACGCUGAGGCGCGAAAGCGUGGGGAGCAAACAGG
rnacentral:rRNA from 1 species